rnacentral:rRNA from 1 species
CCUACGGGUGGCAGCAGUGAGGAAUAUUGGCCAAUGGGCGGGAGCCUGAACCAGCCAAGCCGCGUGAGGGAAGAAGGUACAGCGUAUCGUAAACCUCUUUUGUCAGGGAACAAAGGCGUGGACUAGUCCCCGGUUGAGGGUACCUGAAGAAAAAGCAUCGGCUAACUCCGUGCCAGCAGCCGCGGUAAUACGGAGGAUGCGAGCGUUAUCCGGAUUUAUUGGGUUUAAAGGGUGCGCAGGCGGCCUGUUAAGUCAGCGGUAAAAGCCCGGGGCUAAACCCCGGGUAGCCGUUGAAACUGGCGGGAUGGAGUGGGAGAGAAGUAGGCGGAAUGCGCGGUGUAGCGGUGAAAUGCUUAGAUAUCGCGCAGAACCCCGAUUGCGAAGGCAGCGUACCGGCUCCACACUGACGCUGAGGCACGAAAGCGUGGGUAUCGAACAGGAUUAGAUACCCGGGUAGUC